rnacentral:rRNA from 1 species
AUUGAACGCUGGCGGCAUGCCUUACACAUGCAAGUCGAACGGCAGCACGGGUGCUUGCACCUGGUGGCGAGUGGCGAACGGGUGAGUAAUACAUCGGAACAUGUCCUGUAGUGGGGGAUAGCCCGGCGAAAGCCGGAUUAAUACCGCACACGAUCUACGGAUGAAAGCGGGGGACCUUCGGGCCUCGCGCUAUAGGGUUGGCCGAUGGCUGAUUAGCUAGUUGGUGGGGUAAAGGCCUACCAAGGCGACGAUCAGUAGCUGGUCUGAGAGGACGACCAGCCACACUGGGACUGAGACACGGCCCAGACUCCUACGGGAGGCAGCAGUGGGGAAUUUUGGACAAUGGGCGAAAGCCUGAUCCAGCAAUGCCGCGUGUGUGAAGAAGGCCUUCGGGUUGUAAAGCACUUUUGUCCGGAAAGAAAUCCUUGGCUCUAAUACAGUCGGGGGAUGACGGUACCGGAAGAAUAAGCACCGGCUAACUACGUG